rnacentral:lncRNA from 1 species
UUUUUUUUUUAAUUUUUUAAAAAAAUUUUAUUUAUUUAUUCAUGAGAGAGAGACACACACACACACACACACACACACACAGAGGCAGAGACACAGGCAGUGAGAGAAGCAGGUUCCAUGCAGGGAGCCCAAUGUGGGACUCCAUCCUGGGUCUCCAGGAUCAGGCCCUGGGCUGAAGGCAGGCGCUAAACCACUGAGCUACCCAGGGAUCCCACUUUGUGAGAUUUUUUUGUUCCUUGUUUGAUUAAAACUAGCUUCACAAGGUUUUAGGUAUCUUCUGUCAUUACUGUAUUUGGAAAGAGAGUUACUUAAAAUUGAAACUAAAUAUUUGUAUGAAAACAAAAACUUAAUAGCCCUGGUCUACAGAAAGAAAUAGAAUACAUAAUAGGUUAAGUUGCCGUAAGCCCUUUUCCUAAAAUAAACUUUGUAUUUUAGAAUAACUUGAGAUUUGCAGAAAAUUGCAAAGAUAGUACAGAGAAUUGCCCCACUCAAUUUUCACUUUUUUGUUUUUUUGCCAAAUUUUUAUUUGAAUAUAGUUGAUCUUAUGUUAGUUUCAGGUGUACCACUUAGUGAUUCAACUUCACUCAAUGUUCCGUUGAAUGAGAGUUUUCUAUGGACCUCUAAGGACUUUUCUUGCAUUAAAGAAGCCGAUCUUAGUAACUUCAAAGCUACCAAUGAUGGCCAAAAUUCUUUAAAAUUUAGUUAUAAGAAUGGGGUAUCUGGAGUCAAAGGGUCUGAGUUACAGCUCCACUUCUUAAUAAUGACAGUACCUUAGAGAAGUUAUUGAACCUCCCUAAGCCUCAAUUUCCUUUCCUGUAACAUGGAGAUGGAGCAGAUAAUAAUACCUAUCUAUAUUAAUCUUGGGGCAUAGCAAGUACUCAAUGUCAAUUUAUCAAAAUAAACUGGAGGAGACAUUUAAUAUAAUUUCUUAUUUAUAAAUCUUUAUUUUACAUCGCUGCUCUAUGUGUAUCAUAUUCUGCAACCAGACUAGAUUACACAUAGUUCUCUUAUUUAUUUAUUUUUUUCACCUAGUUCUCUUAACACUGGAAGGUAUUUUAUACUCCUUAGCAAUACUCUUCCCUUCACGGACUACCUGGCAAACUUCUAUUCACACUUCAAGACUCAGUUCACAUUAUCUUUCAUUUAUUUGGUCAGUCAUCAUCCAACAUUUUUUUUUUUUUAAACAUUCACUCUAAAUAGCAUCCUCCUUCUGGAGAUACAUCUACCAGCAAAUUAAACAUAAAUAGAAUUAACACUGCUUAGAAGACUGCCCGUUGAAUAUGCAUCUUAGAUCAUUUUCCUCUUUAGAAAAUUUCCCACAUGCUACAUGUUCAGUAAUAACUCCAGCUGCUUGCUCAUAAGAUAGUAUUUCUUCCCCAAAUGUAAUACUUCUAUUUUUGUGCUCCACCAGUUUUGUUGUUUUUAGAAAGCUUUUAGGCCCAUUACUAAGAGUAAACCAGAUACUUAGCUGAGACAUAAUUUUUCUGAAACAUUUGAGCAAUGGACAAGCAGGAAGUGAUUAAAAGGAGAAAAGCUUUAACAACUACUAGCAAAAUUCCCUUUCCUUGUGAAACUUACAUAUUUAACAAGAAGUCAACAGUAAUUACCAGACUUAACACCUGCUGCAUAGAAUCUUGUUUUAAAUAAAUUUGUAAUAUGGAGGCAGAUUCACUGCACCAAUAUCCCAUUGCACAUGUUAACUGCAAUAUACGCUUAGAAUUCUAAUAAUUUCUCUGAUAAUAUCUUGCAUCAUUUAAGAAUUCCUAAAGAUGAAUUCUAAAAUUCAGUUUCAUCUGUGCAAACCUGAAAAUUUCAUUAUAUGCUUUUUAAAAAAGUGCUUACCUAACUGAUACAUAAAAGGGAAAUUGGCCAUGUGAUCAUGUGUUCUCACGUAUCUCUGACAUUCUGCAAAUACCAUAAGUUUUUUGAAUAGUUUCAACAUAAAAAAAAAACCCUGAACACAAGCAUGAUUCUGUGUUUGAACCUAAAUACACACACAUACACUUAUGUUCAGAUAUGCAUACGAAUAGGAAUGUUGAAAACUACCCCUUGUACU